UGAACCCCGUAACAAAUACAGAAUUCAGACAAAACCUCAUGGCCAUGGUGAUGUGCAUGCACUUCUCUUUUCCAGUGGCCUUCUGAAAAUAUGGCAUGAUGCUGGUUUGAGAUGGGUUCUGUUUUUCCAAGAUACAAAUGGGCUUCUGUUCAAGGCAAUUCCAGCAUCUUUGGGUGUAAGUUCUACCAGACAAUACCAUGUUAACUCUCUUGCUGUGCCACGCAGAGCA